rnacentral:ncRNA from 1 species
UAUUAUUUAUAUAUUAAAUUAUAUUAGAAAAGUGAAUAAAAUAUACAAUUUAUAUAAAUUUUAUAUUAAUAAUCUAUGUAAAAAAAUUUGAUUUUUGUUUUUGUAAUUAAUUUUAUUAAUUUUAUUUUAUGUAAAUUUUUGUGUUUAUAUUAAUUCUAAAAGAUAAAUUAUUAGUAUCAAAAUUUAAUAUUAUUAUAUAAAUAAAUAUUUAAAUUAGAAAUUAAUAUUAAAUUUUAAUUAAAAUUGUGCCAGCAAUUGCGGUUAUACAAUUAAAAUAAAUUAAUUAUGUUGGUUUAUAAUUAUAAAUUAUAAAAAAUAAUUUAAUAUUAAAUUUUAUAAGUGAAAUUUUAAAUUUAUUAAUAAAUUUAAGUAUUUUAUAUUAUAAAUUUAGUUUUUAAAAUAGGAUUAGAGACCCUAGUAUUCUAAAUGUAUUAAAUAUCAGAGAAUUAUUAGUUUAUUCUUGAAAUUCAAAAAAUUUGACGGCAAUUAAUUUUAUUAGAGGAAUUUGUUAUAUAAUCGAUAAUCCACGAUAAAUUUUACUUUUAUUAAAUUUAUAUAUCGUUGUUAUAGAAUAUUUUUAGAGAAUAAUUUCUUUUACUUUAUCAGUAUUAUAUCAGAUCAAGGUUUAAUUAUAUAAAAGAAAUAAUGAAUUACAUUUAUAUUAAUAUUGAAUUAAAAUAUUUAAAUUUUUAUGAAAUUGGAUUUAAUAGUAAAUUUAAAUAUAAAUUUAAAUUGAAUUGUAUUUUAAUUGUGUACAUACCGCCCGUCACUCUCAUAUAUGAGAAAAGUCGUAACAAAGUUAAUUUACUAGAAAGUGAAUUUAGAAUUU